CCAUAACUAAUGAACUUGAUUGUCUAUGUAAAUUGUACGAGAAUCCUACGUUGUUGCCUGCACUUGGAAUUAAUAUUACUCAAGCACUUGCACUUCCUAAAGCAUGUAAUAUUCCUGGUGAUCUCAGUUCUUGCAAUGGUAUGAUCUUUUCUUCUUCAUGCUUUUUUCCUGCUUUAGUUAUUCGGUGUUCGAGCUUUGGAAUUAGUCAUUAAUGUUUGCAUCAGGGUUCACUACUUAUAUUACAAUGGGGCAGAGACGAAGCCAGAAUUUUAAACUUAGUUAUGAAUUCCAAAUCUUUUAAAUUAAUGUAUUCCAAAUUAAUAAUUUAUAUACUUUCAAUAAAUUUCUUAGAAAAAAUACACGAUUUGGAUUAAAGCUAAUGGGUUCGCCCGAAACGGUAUUGCUCUCCCUCUGCCCCUGUUUUGGGGUACAAUCCAUUACGGGAGAUGUAAUGGUGUUCAUAAAAGUCUGAAAACCUGAAUCAAACCGAAAACCAAACCAAACCAACCAAAAAAUAAACCGAUACUUUUUGGUUUAGUUUGGUUUUGGCUUUAAAAUUUAAAAUUGAUCAAAUUUGGUUUGAUUUUGGUUUUAGUUAAAAAAAUCCGAACAAAAUCGAAUAUAGGAAUAGCUAUUUAAAAAAAUUAUUAUUAACUUAUAU
rnacentral:lncRNA from 1 species